rnacentral:rRNA from 1 species
CCUACGGGAGGCAGCAGUUAGGAAUUUUGCGCAAUGGGGGAAACCCUGACGCAGCAACGCCGCGUGGAGGAUGAAGGCCUUCGGGUUGUAAACUCCUUUUAGCAGGGAAGAAAAAAAUGACGGUAUCUGCAGAAAAAGCACCGGCUAACUCUGUGCCAGCAGCCGCGGUAAUACAGAGGGUGCAAGCGUUAUUCGGAAUCACUGGGCGUAAAGAGCUCGUAGGCGGUUAAUUAAGUCAUAUGUGAAAGCCCUGGGCUCAAUCCAGGAAGUGCAUCUGAUACUGGUUGACUGGAGUGCAGGAGAGGAAAGCGGAAUUCCAGGUGUAGAGGUGAAAUUCGUAGAUAUCUGGAGGAACAACAGAAGCGAAGGCGGCUUUCUGGACUGUCACUGACGCUGAGGAGCGAAAGCGUGGGGAGCAAACAGGAUUAGAUACCCUGGUAGUCCACGCUGUAAACGAUGGAUACUAGAUGUCGGGGGCCUUACCCCCGUCGGUGUCGACGCUAACGCAUUAAGUAUCCCGCCUGGGGAGUACGGCCGCAGGUUAAAACUCAAAGGAAUUGACGG